AUGUCAAUUCCAAGAAAAAAUAUCAUCACAUUGUUUCUAAACCAAUUUGAUCAAUCUAUACAUCUCAAUAAUCAAUAUGUAUUCAUCUUGCCAAAACGGCCAUUCAGUCCAAGAAAAUGCAACAUUUCAAUAAGCACCAUGAUAUUACACAUAAACAUAUCAAGCAGUUUACAAGCUACUUUGGUCCAAAUACUACGCUUCAUUAUAAACACAUUUUCUUCAAGCCUUUCUCCAUCAACCACAAACCUCAUGGUACCCCUUCACAAUCAUUUCCUCAAAUUAAUUUGGAAGAAAGCUUGUGUGACCAAGGAAGCUCCACAUAGGCAAAGAAUAGCAGAAGGUUCUUCAAAAAAUUAA